AGGUUAAGUUAACAAGGGCGCAUGGUGAAUGCCUUGGCACUAGGAGCCGAUGAAGGACGGGACUAACACCGAUAUGCUUCGGGGAGCUGUACGUAAGCUAUGAUCCGGAGAUUUCCGAAUGGGGCAACCCAGCAGUUUUAAUCAACUGUUACCACUAGAUGAAUUCAUAGUCUAGUUGGAGGUAAACGCUGUGAACUGAAACAUCUCAUUAGCAGCAGGAAUAUAAAGAAAUUUCGAUUCCCUAAGUAGCGGCGAGCGAACGGGGAACAGCCCAAACCAAAGUGCUUGCACUUUGGGGUUGUAGGACUGAACAUUUGAGUUACCAAAGAACUUGAUAGUCGAAGGAUUUGGGAAAAUCCGCCAUAGAUGGUGAUAGCCCAGUAGAUUAAAUCAAAUUCUCUCAGUUCAGGAUCCUGAGUACGGCGGAACACGUGAAAUUCCGUCGGAAUCCGGGAGGACCAUCUCCCAAGGCUAAAUACUACCUAGUGACCGAUAGUGAACCAGUACCGUGAGGGAAAGGUGAAAAGCACCCCGGGAGGGGAGUGAAAUAGUUCCUGAAACCAUGUGCCUACAAUAAGUCAGAGCGCGUUAAUGCGUGAUGGCGUGCCUUUUGUAGAAUGAACCGGCGAGUUAUGAUCCCGUGCAAGGUUAAGACUAAAAAGUCGGAGCCGUAGCGAAAGCGAGUCUGAAAUGGGCGUUUUGAGUACGAGGUUAUAGACCCGAAACCAGGUGACCUAUCCAUGUCCAGGUUGAAGGUGCGGUAAAACGCACUGGAGGACCGAACCCGUGUAAGUUGAAAAUUGCUGGGAUGAGGUGUGGAUAGCGGUGAAAUUCCAAACGAACUUGGAGAUAGCUGGUUCUCUCCGAAAUAGCUUUAGGGCUAGCCUCGGAAUUAGGAUCAUGGAGGUAGAGCACUAUUUGGACUAGGGGCCCGUCUUGGGUUACUGAAUUCAGAUAAACUCCGAAUGCCAUUGAUUCAUAUCCGGGAGUCAGACGAUGAGUGAUAAGAUCCACCGUCGAAAGGGGAACAGCCCAGACCAUCAGUUAAGGUCCCUAAAUGUAUGCUAAGUGGAAAAGGAUGUGGAGUUGCAUAGACAACUAGGAUGUUGGCUCAGAAGCAGCCACCAUUUAAAGAGUGCGUAAUAGCUCACUAGUCGAGUGAUCCUGCGCCGAAAAUGUACCGGGGCUAAGCAUACUACCGAAACCAUGGAUGCGACCAUUAGGUCGCGUGAUAGGAGAGCGUUCUAAGGGCGGUGAAGCAAGAUCGUGAGGACUUGUGGAGCGCUUAGAAGUGAGAAUGCCGGUAUGAGUAGCGAAAGAUAGGUGAGAAUCCUAUCCACCGAAUGACUAAGGUUUCCUGGGGAAGGCUCGUCCUCCCAGGGUUAGUCGGGACCUAAGUCGAGGCCGAGAGGCGUAGACGAUGGAUAACAGGUUGAGAUUCCUGUACUAGUUAAGUGCGUUUGAGCAAUGGAGGGACGCAGGAGGCUAAGAUGUGCAUUCUGUUGGAUUAGAAUGUCCAAGCAGUAAGUCUGAAGAGGAGUCAAAUGCUUCUUUUCUUAAGGACAAGCUGUGAUGGGGAGGGAAAUAAUAGUACCGAAGUUCCUGAUGUCACACUGCCGAGAAAAGCUUCUAGUGAGUACUUAACUCCCGUACCGCAAACCGACACAGGUAGUCGAGGAGAGAAUCCUAAGGUGAGCGAGUGAACUCUCGUUAAGGAACUCGGCAAAAUGACCCCGUAACUUCGGGAGAAGGGGUGCUGAUCGCAAGAUCAGCCGCAGUGAAUAGGCCCAGGCGACUGUUUAUCAAAAACACAGGUCUCUGCAAAAUCGUAAGAUGACGUAUAGGGGCUGACGCCUGCCCGGUGCUGGAAGGUUAAAAGGAUGGGUUAGCUUCGGCGAAGCUCAGAAUUGAAGCCCCAGUAAACGGCGGCCGUAACUAUAACGGUCCUAAGGUAGCGAAAUUCCUUGUCGGGUAAGUUCCGACCCGCACGAAAGGCGUAACGAUCUGGGCACUGUCUCAACGAGAGACUCGGUGAAAUUAUAUUGUCCGUGAAGAUGCGGACUACCCGCGACAGGACGGAAAGACCCCAUGGAGCUUUACUGUAGCUUGAUAUUGAGUGUUUGUACAGCUUGUACAGGAUAGGUAGGAGCCAUAGAAACCGGAACGCUAGUUUCGGUGGAGGCGUUGGUGGGAUACUACCCUCGCUGUAUGACCACUCUAACCCGCACCACUAAUCGUGGUGGGAGACAGUGUCAGGUGGGCAGUUUGACUGGGGCGGUCGCCUCCUAAAAAGUAACGGAGGCGCCCAAAGGUUCCCUCAGAAUGGUUGGAAAUCAUUCGCAGAGUGUAAAGGCACAAGGGAGCUUGACUGCGAGACAGACAGGUCGAGCAGGGACGAAAGUCGGGCUUAGUGAUCCGGUGGUACCGUAUGGAAGGGCCAUCGCUCAACGGAUAAAAGCUACCCUGGGGAUAACAGGCUUAUCUCCCCCAAGAGUCCACAUCGACGGGGAGGUUUGGCACCUCGAUGUCGGCUCAUCGCAUCCUGGGGCUGUAGUCGGUCCCAAGGGUUGGGCUGUUCGCCCAUUAAAGCGGUACGCGAGCUGGGUUCAGAACGUCGUGAGACAGUUCGGUCCCUAUCCGUCGCGGGCGUAGGAAAUUUGAGAGGACCUGUCCUUAGUACGAGAGGACCGGGAUGGACAUACCUCUGGUGUACCAGUUGUGCCGCCAGGCGCAUCGCUGGGUAGCUACGUAUGGAUGUGAUAAACGCUGAAAGCAUCUAAGUGUGAAACACACCUCGAGAUGAGAUUUCCCAUUCCUUUAUGGAAGUAAGACCCCUGAAAGAUGAUCAGGUAGAUAGGUUAGAAGUGGCAGUGCGGUGACGCAUGAAGCGGACUAAUACUAAUCGGUCGAGGACUUAACCAAG
rnacentral:rRNA from 1 species